CACACAGAAAGAGACUGAGAGACAGAGAGAGGCUGAGAGACACAGAGACUGAGAGACACAGAGAAAGAGAGACUGAGAGACACAGAGAAAGAGACGGAGAGAGAAAGAGCUGCUUGCACUCUGUUGGCCAGAGGGAGAACUAACUCCUUUUCCCCUUUCUCUGCUUAGAGCUGGUAGCUGGUCUGAAGGUGAAGCUGCUGGCAGUUCGCUCUUUGUUGGGAACAGUGGCUAAGGAAGUGGUUUGCUACUGGCUUCUGGAACUGGGCUCUGCAGCCUUUAUCCUCCACAGCUGAUUCACAUACUUUUGAUUCUUGCUGAGAAAGGCAGUUGUUAGAUUUGGAAGUUUUCAGAUUCCAGCGCCAGCUGGACAGCUGACCCUCUGGUAAUUGUUUCCCCAACUGCCAGCCCUCUGUUGCCUCAUCUCCCUGGGCCCCUUCUUUUCGACUUUGAAGCCAUAUCCUAUAUUUAGUGAACUAGCCAGUUAGGGGUUGGAGGAGGAUUGACGGGGAGUCUCUCCUCCCUCAGAAUUCUGGGUGGAUGGAGUAUUUGGGCCUAGGAACAAGAUGUAUCCUGCUUAAAAACUUUAACCCCUUUGUCGGGCAUGCUCAGGUGACAGCUUACAGUGCUAAGAAUGUGCCUCUCUCUAGCUCAUGAGUAAGGAAGGAGCAGUGUUUAUUUUUGGGUGUCCUGAAGAAAAUAUUUGGGAGAAGGAGUGGGGAGAAGCCCAGACAGCUCCAUUUAUGGUUGAGCAAUGCUUGGUAUUCUACAGAGGGACCGUAUGGGCCGCGGGGAAGAGCUUAGCAGUCUCGUUGUUCACCUCUUGCUCCCUCCAUUCAGGGAUGAUCAGGGACACCGUAUUAGCCAUCACAGUGGGACAGGUGUUCCUUGGGCCGACACGAGCCUCACCCUCAAAUCCCGGGCGUCUUCUGCUCCGCCAGCCUGCUGAAUCACCACCCAGGAAUGGCGGUAGCCAGGAUGCCUCCUGCAGUGCCUGGAGCACUCUCGGCAUGGUGCGCCAUUGACUGGUCUUGGUCUCCUAGACACGGCCCGGGCCUCUCCAGGCCUGCUGGAGUGAUAGGCUGGGUCUUAGCUCCCCCUCCAGCUUGUUCCACAAGGCGAUGACCUACUUUUCAGAGACAACUAAGUGUUUGUGAGCAGAAGAAGGCGGUGACCUGAGUGAAGGUGAACCAGAGCUGCAUUAAACAAACAUUGGGAGUUACUUUUUUGUGUCUCGCAUAGCAGGGCCCACCCACCUCAGUCCCAAUGGAACGGCUGACCAGGCUGAUGUGUGGGGGCCAAGUUCCAGAAGCUUAUGAAGAUAGGCAGCCACCCUUGAAUGCUCGUUUCUUCCAUCGAUGUACUUUAGUGUAAGAGAGAGCCUUUUAUAAUGAUUGUACACUUUGUCUUUUGGGUGAUAGGCGAAGGCUUGAAAGGAAGUUGGGGCUCUUACAGUGAGUCAGCGCUAUAAGCCAGCAGUCCCUUCUGGUGACAGUAUUCUACUUCAUUUGUAGCCCCUCUGAGAGGAUUUGUAUCUUUUUCUUUUGUACAGGCUGGGAUAAUAAGCUGGAUGGGAGCCCAGAUCUUUAGGGAACAAGUGAGUAGCUUGUUUAGGUUUUCCUGUCCUUGUGAGACAAGGUUUAGAUUCAGUUUUUGCAAGUGAAAGGAAGUGAACUCACUUUUCUCUUCCCUGGAUGUCACUUACCUUAUUACCAGACCUCCAACUUCUGCUUCCCUGUUGAAUAUGAUUAUUAUACUCGAGUUGUCAUCCUUACAGUUGUAAGUUAGCACUGGGGGAAGGAUCCAAGGCCCUGACAUGAGAUGGACAGUGACUCUUGUCCUAUAUCAGCUGGCUCUAGGGCCCUGGGGGAAUUGCUAAACUUGCGAUUGGGCCAUUGCCUAAACUUUUCUUUUCAGCAACUCCACACACAUGACAACUCCCAAAUCGCCCUAUUAAUAAAAAGAAGAGUUACUGAUGUUGUACCCAGAGAUACAGAUCAAAUCUUAAAGUCCAGGAAGGAAGAUGCUUAGGAGAAGAAUUCAACCCUGCCACUCUCUCCCUGGAAUUCCUCCUGAUAACCUUAGAGGUGUCAGUCCCAUUUGAAGAACUAGUUUACAUAUCAGAGCAGGGCUUGGAAGGCAGCAUGGCAUCAAUGUUGGUCUUGUAGAUGGCUAAGUUUCUUGGGGAAGAGAUUUGAGGUGACCUGAAAUUGCCCCCGCUCCUCCUAGGAAUCCCAGAAUCUGGUCACAACCUCCUUUCUUCCACUUUUCCCAUCCCUUUAUGCCCAGGAAGCCUGGUCUCUGCUUAUUUCGUAGUCUCUCAGCCUCUUCGUGGUGUCAUUGUCCUCCCAUCUGUCCUACAUGGCCACUCUUGCACUGACGUUCUCAGGUCUCUUUCUUUCUGCCACACCUUCCUGUCCUUCCCGGCAGAGCCGGACCCAUGUUCACUUUCCCCACGGAGCUGCUGAGUUCUGCUGCAUAGCAUUGUGCUGACGGGCUCCUUCACAGGUUCAUGAGCUCCAGCCAUAGCUUGACUCUCAACCCUGCCCUGAAAUCUCUCUGUUCUCUCCUGGGUGACUCCCAUUCCUUUUCCUUUACAGCAGCUAUUCCAGACUUGCACCACUCUCCUUCAACUUGCUGCUCCACCCCACCUUGUAAACUCUCAGCAAGCCAUUUAGCCUUUUACUGUCCACAGCUCUGCCUCUCAGCUUAUCUGUAAUCUUCCCCAGUCCUCACCACAUUCCGUCUUGUUUCAGAGGCAGUCCUCUGGGCAUGUACAUAGUUUGUAUUCUUAGUGUCUCCCCACCUAAUGACUCUUCAUAAGUUUUCUCCAUCCUAAGGAAGAAACAUCUUUUAAGCUGUCUCUUCUUCGACCUAACUCUGCUUUUUAUUUUUUUAAGCCCCUAAACCUCUUUAAUAGCCUUUCUUAUAUUCCUUUAGUCAUCUUGACCCACGAUAGCAUGGCUUUUGUGCUCGUCGGCCCAGCUGAAAUCGCUCUCACUUACGAUGACCUACCUUCAGAAUUCACUGUUUCUUUUCAGUUCUCAUGUUUGACCUUGUUACAGCUUUUUUUUUUUAAAUUUAUUUAUUUAUAUUUAUUUUGUCUGCACCAGAUCUUAGUUGUGGUGCUCGGGAUCUUCGUUGAGGCGUGCAUGCAGAAUCUAGUUCCCCAAGUAGGGAUCGAACAUGGGCCCACUGCAUUGGGAGCCUGGAGUCUUACCCACUGGACCACCAGGGAAAUCCCAGAUAUGUGGUAUUUUGU